AGCACAUCGACGCGCGCUGCCUCAGCGACGCUCUCCGGGUGCGCAUCUCGAGGCCCUUCGUGGAGCUCAACAACGUGACGCUACUCGUGCGAGACCGCAGGGGCAAGUCGCAUGUUCUCUCCCCCUCAAUGAGUGCCAGAUGUGGUUACAAACAGCUGGAGAACUACAGUGGAGGACUGGAGCUGUGGGCCUCCCUUACAGCCUGCCACAUGUACUUACAGCGUGAAAGCAGACGUCUGCGGCUCUCUGUAGGUGUGAAGUAUGUGCCCUUAAAUCUCUCCUGGUCUGAGACCACUGACCAUGUGUACUUCUCCUGUCCCUAUAAGCCAAGCAGUGGGCGCAAACUGGUGUGUGAGGAGGCCUACACUGAGGUAGAGCUUCACCAUAGUUUAAAGGUCUCUGUGUAUGUUUGAUAUGGAUCAAUUCUUUAUGCAUUUUGGCAGUUAUCUAUUAACAAAAUUUAUUAUACUUCAUAGUGGCCUUAUCUUUAAGAUUAAAGCAAGCUAAAGCAUUGUAAAUCUGGGGGGGGAACUAAACCAAAAAAAAAUUUAGAAAAGUAGAAGAUUGGCAUGCAGGUGAGAUGUUUCAAUGUGAAAUGGAUGAUGUGUAAAUCUAUAUGGUAAAUUUAUUGUACUGCUUCCUCUUUAGGUAUCCCACACAGUUGAUGUGUCAUUGUAUGACACUAAGGUAUGACUCAUGAGCUCUUUACCAACCCAUUAGUGUAGGACUGAUUGCUUUAUGUUUAGAAAGCAUUGUGUAAAGGCACUGUAAGGAAGAAUAUUGCACUGCAUAAUUUGGACAUGUCACAAUGCAGAUUGCAAGUGGAAAGAGUUCACUGAUUUUUGAGAUUCGGAACCAGAAUGGUACCAUCAUGACCCAGGAUCGGAAAUGGAUUUCUUAUCAAGGCCUACAGUUGCGUGUCGACCGUUCAGUAGGUCGGAUCACUUUGCGGGUUCCUCUCAGCAGUCCAAUUGUCUCAAUAAGGGAUUCAAAUGGCUUUCUGUCAGUGGAGCAUACUUUUGUGGUUAAGCUGCAGGAUGUCUUCAACACAGAGUAUGAUCUGAGCGCUCAGUGCCCAGUUGUACAGCUGAUGUGCCAAGAAGGGGAUGUGGUAGUGUCUACAGCCAACCUUUGGCUUCCAAGUCUUAUGGAGAGAGUGGAGGACUAUGCAAUCAGAAUACAACUUGAUGGGGUCACACUCUCAGAGGAAGAUGCAGUCUCCAAGGGGUAUAAAAUCUCACUUGGGACACAAGGUGCCAAGGUCUCCUUUGCUACAAGGACCAACCCCUUGCUAAACAGGUAUAACGAAGAUGACUCUGGGGUGAAUAAACAUCGUCUGGCCCUGGUCCUUCUGUGGGGACUUAAAGAAGGAUUGCAGCAUAGCCGAGAGGUCAUUCAUAUUCCACCUCACUCCUGUCAUCCCCAACACCAGGACCCAGUCUUCACAGGUCCCUUGUCAAUAAGUU
rnacentral:lncRNA from 1 species